rnacentral:rRNA from 1 species
AACGUACGCUGGCGGCACGCCUAACACAUGCAAGUCGAACGCAGUAGCAAUACUGAGUGGCAAACGGGUGAGUAUAAUGUGGGAAUCUGCCUUUUGGUUUGGAAUAACACGGGGAAACUUGUGCUAAUACCGAAUAAGCCCUUACGGGGAAAGUUUUAACGCCGAAAGAUGAGCCCGCACUUGAUUAGCUAGUUGGUAAGGUAAAAGCUUACCAAGGCAACGAUCAAUAGCUGCUCUUAGAGGAAGACCAGCCACAUUGGGACUGAGACACGGCCCAGACUCCUACGGGAGGCAGCAGUGGGGAAUCUUGCACAAUGGGGGAAACCCUGAUGCAGCGAUGCCGCGUGAGUGAAGAAGGCCCUUGGGUUGUAAAACUCUUUCGUCGGGGAAGAAAAUGACUGUACCCGAAUAAGAAGGUCCGGCUAACUUCGUGCCAGCAGCCGCGGUAAUACGAAGGGACCUAGCGUAGUUCGGAAUUACUGGGCUUAAAGAGCUCGUAGGUGGUUAAAAAAGUUGAGGGUGAAAUCCCAAGGCUUCAACCCUGGAACUGCCAUCAAAACUUUUUUAGCUAGAGUGUGAUAGAGGUAAGUGGAAUUUCUAGUGUAGAGGUGAAAUUCGUAGAUAUUAGAAAGAACACCAAAUGCGAAGGCAACUUACUGGGUCACUACUGACACUGAGGAGCGAAAGCAUGGGUAGCGAAGAGGAUUAGAUACCCUCGUAGUCCAUGCCGUAAACGAUGAGUGCUAGACGUUGGGAAUAUAUUUUUCAGUGUCGCAGCGAAAGCAUUAAGCACUCCGCCUGGGGAGUACGACCGCAAAGUUAAAACUCAAAUGAAUUGACGGGGACCCGCACAAGCAGUGGAGCAUGUGGUUUAAUUCGAAGAUACGCGCAGAACCUUACCAACACUUGACAUGUUCGUCGCGACUUUAAGAGAUUAAAGUUUUCGGUUCGGCCGGACGAAACACAGGUGCUGCAUGGCUGUCGUCAGCUCGUGUCGUGAGAUGUUGGGUUAAGUCCCGCAACGAGCGCAACCCUCACUUUUAGUUGCCAUCAUUAAGUUGGGCACUCUGAAAGAACUGCCAGUGAUAAGCUGGAGGAAGGUGGGGAUGACGUCAAGUCCUCAUGGCCCUUACGUGUUGGGCUACACACGUGCUACAAUGGUAUCUACAAAAGGAUGCAAGAUGGCGACAUUAAGCAAAUCCUUAAAAGAUACCUCAGUUCGGAUUGCACUCUGCAACUCGAGUGCAUGAAGCUGGAAUUACUAGUAAUCGUGGAUCAGCGUGCCACGGUGAAUACGUUCCCGGGUCUU